rnacentral:rRNA from 1 species
UAAAAUACGACUCUCGGCAACGGAUAUCUCGGCUCUCGCAUCGAUGAAGAACGUAGCGAAAUGCGAUACUUGGUGUGAAUUGCAGAAUCCCGUGAACCAUCGAGUCUUUGAACGCAAGUUGCGCCCGAAGCCGUCAGGCCGAGGGCACGUCUGCCUGGGCGUCA